UACGGAGGGAGCUAGCGUUGUUCGGAAUUACUGGGCGUAAAGCGCGCGUAGGCGGCUUUGCAAGUUAGAGGUGAAAGCCCGGAGCUCAACUCCGGAACUGCCUUUAAAACUGCAUCGCUUGAAUCCAGGAGAGGUGAGUGGAAUUCCGAGUGUAGAGGUGAAAUUCGUAGAUAUUCGGAAGAACACCAGUGGCGAAGGCGGCUCACUGGACUGGUAUUGACGCUGAGGAGCGAAAGCCAGGGGAGCAAACGGG
rnacentral:rRNA from 1 species